CUACUACUCUUUCCGUCUAACAAAAGAUGUUUCAAGUUUGUCAAAAUUUAGAUGUAUAUAGACAUGACUUAGUGUAUAGAUGCAUUUAAAUUUAAUCAAAAUUGAAAACAUCCUUUGUUGGACGGAGAAAAUACUAG
rnacentral:pre_miRNA from 1 species